CAGAAAUAUGAUUAUGUGUUGCAGUAUUGUAGAGACCGAGGUUGGCAUGGUGAUGCAUCCAGAAAUAUGAUUAUGUGUUGCAGUAUUGUAGAGACCGAGGUUGGCAUGGUGAUGCAUCCAGAAAUAUGAUUAUGUGUUGCAGUAUUGUAGAGACCGAGGGUGGCAUGGUGAUGCAUCCAGAAAUAUGAUUAUGUGUUGCAGUAUUGUAGAGACCGAGGGUGGCAUGGUGAUGCAUCCAGAAAUAUGAUUAUGUGUUGCAGUAUUGUAGAGACCGAGGGUGGCAUGGUGAUGCAUCCAGAAAUAUGAUUAUGUGUUGCAGUAUUGUAGAGACUGAAGGUGGCAUGGUGAUGCAUCCAGAAAUAUGAUUAUGUGUUGCAGUAUUGUAGAGACUGAAGGUGGCAUGGUGAUGCAUCCAGAAAUAUGAUUAUGUGUUGCAGUAUUGUAGAGACUGAAGGUGGCAUGGUGAUGCAUCCAGAAAUAUGAUUAUGUGUUGCAGUAUUGUAGAGACCGAGGUUGGCAUGGUGAUGCAUCCAGAAAUAUGAUUAUGUGUUGCAGUAUUGUAGAGACCGAGGGUGGCAUGGUGAUGCAUCCAGAAAUAUGAUUAUGUGUUGCAGUAUUGUAGAGACCGAGGGUGGCAUGGUGAUGCAUCCAGAAAUAUGAUUAUGUGUUGCAGUAUUGUAGAGACCGAGGGUGGCAUGGUGAUGCAUCCAGAAAUAUGAUUAUGUGUUGCAGUAUUGUAGGGACCGAGGGUGGCAUGGUGAUGCAUCCAGAAAUAUAUUUAUGUGUUGCAGUAUUGUAGGGACCGAGGGUGGCAUGGUGAUGCAUCCAGAAAUAUGAUUAUGUGUUGCAGUAUUGUAGAGGCCGAGGUUGGCAUGGUGAUGCCUCCAGAAAUAUGAUUAUGUGUUGCAGUAUUGUAGAGACCGAGGUUGGCAUGGUGAUGCCUCCAGAAAUAUGAUUAUGUGUUGCAGUAUUGUAGGGACCGAGGGUGGCAUGGUGAUGCAUCCAGAAAUAUGAUUAUGUGUUGCAGUAUUGUAGGGACCGAGGUGGCAUGGUGAUGCAU